rnacentral:rRNA from 1 species
GAAGAGUUUGAUCAUGGCUCAGAUUGAACGCUGGCGGCAGGCCUAACACAUGCAAGUCGAACGGUAACAGGAAGCAGCUUGCUGCUUUGCUGACGAGUGGCGGACGGGUGAGUAAUGUCUGGGAAACUGCCUGAUGGAGGGGGAUAACUACUGGAAACGGUGGCUAAUACCGCAUAACGUCGCAAGACCAAAGAGGGGGACCUUCGGGCCUCUUGCCAUCAGAUGUGCCCAGAUGGGAUUAGCUUGUUGGUGAGGUAACGGCUCACCAAGGCGACGAUCCCUAGCUGGUCUGAGAGGAUGACCAGCCACACUGGAACUGAGACACGGUCCAGACUCCUACGGGAGGCAGCAGUGGGGAAUAUUGCACAAUGGGCGCAAGCCUGAUGCAGCCAUGCCGCGUGUAUGAAGAAGGCCUUCGGGUUGUAAAGUACUUUCAGCGGGGAGGAAGGUGUUGUGGUUAAUAACCGCAGCAAUUGACGUUACCCGCAGAAGAAGCACCGGCUAACUCCGUGCCAGCAGCCGCGGUAAUACGGAGGGUGCAAGCGUUAAUCGGAAUUACUGGGCGUAAAGCGCACGCAGGCGGUCUGUCAAGUCGGAUGUGAAAUCCCCGGGCUCAACCUGGGAACUGCAUUCGAAACUGGCAGGCUUGAGUCUUGUAGAGGGGGGUAGAAUUCCAGGUGUAGCGGUGAAAUGCGUAGAGAUCUGGAGGAAUACCGGUGGCGAAGGCGGCCCCCUGGACAAAGACUGACGCUCAGGUGCGAAAGCGUGGGGAGCAAACAGGAUUAGAUACCCUGGUAGUCCACGCCGUAAACGAUGUCUACUUGGAGGUUGUGCCCUUGAGGCGUGGCUUCCGGAGCUAACGCGUUAAGUAGACCGCCUGGGGAGUACGGCCGCAAGGUUAAAACUCAAAUGAAUUGACGGGGGCCCGCACAAGCGGUGGAGCAUGUGGUUUAAUUCGAUGCAACGCGAAGAACCUUACCUGGUCUUGACAUCCACGGAAGAAUUCAGAGAUGGAUUUGUGCCUUCGGGAACCGUGAGACAGGUGCUGCAUGGCUGUCGUCAGCUCGUGUUGUGAAAUGUUGGGUUAAGUCCCGCAACGAGCGCAACCCUUAUCCUUUGUUGCCAGCGGUCCGGCCGGGAACUCAAAGGAGACUGCCAGUGAUAAACUGGAGGAAGGUGGGGAUGACGUCAAGUCAUCAUGGCCCUUACGACCAGGGCUACACACGUGCUACAAUGGCGCAUACAAAGAGAAGCGACCUCGCGAGAGCAAGCGGACCUCAUAAAGUGCGUCGUAGUCCGGAUUGGAGUCUGCAACUCGACUCCAUGAAGUCGGAAUCGCUAGUAAUCGUGGAUCAGAAUGCCACGGUGAAUACGUUCCCGGGCCUUGUACACACCGCCCGUCACACCAUGGGAGUGGGUUGCAAAAGAAGUAGGUAGCUUAACCUUCGGGAGGGCGCUUACCACUUUGUGAUUCAUGACUGGGGUGAAGUCGUAACAAGGUAACCGUAGGGGAACCUGCGGUUGGAUCACCUCCUUACCUUAAAGAA